AUUGAACGCUGGCGGCAUGCUUUACACAUGCAAGUCGAACGGUAACAGGUCUUCGGAUGCUGACGAGUGGCGAACGGGUGAGUAAUACAUCGGAACGUGCCUAGUAGUGGGGGAUAACUACUCGAAAGAGUAGCUAAUACCGCAUGAGAUCUACGGAUGAAAGCAGGGGACCUUCGGGCCUUGUGCUACUAGAGCGGCUGAUGGCAGAUUAGGUAGUUGGUGGGGUAAAGGCUUACCAAGCCUGCGAUCUGUAGCUGGUCUGAGAGGACGACCAGCCACACUGGGACUGAGACACGGCCCAGACUCCUACGGGAGGCAGCAGUGGGGAAUUUUGGACAAUGGGCGAAAGCCUGAUCCAGCAAUGCCGCGUGCAGGAUGAAGGCCCUCGGGUUGUAAACUGCUUUUGUACGGAACGAAAAGCCUGGGGGUAAUAUCCCCG
rnacentral:rRNA from 1 species